rnacentral:lncRNA from 1 species
GGAAGGUGUUAGGCACCCUUCGAAAUCCACAAUUGUGGGUUCCGACUGAAUUCAUUUUUUUUUCAAAUUGAGGAGCAAAUAAAUAAUAUACAAGUCAACUAACAUGUAAUAUAAACAAAUAACAAAAUAAAAUAAUAAUGCAAGUAUUGGCCUAAUGUUUGCCUAACAUCAAUUAUAUACACAAUGAUAAAUAUAAAAUACAUUUCAAUUCCAUUGGAAUAACUUCGAUGAGAAGCAACUCAAGGGUACCUGUAAACACAAUUAGUAAAAGAGUUAGUGAUAAAUUAAUCAUGAAUAAAAAUGAAUAACUCAAAUAAUAACUUAAAAAUAAAAAUCCGUCUUAUAAACAUGGAAGACCUUAGAAAUAGACGGUAUUUUCAUCGGCCAAUUUUAUCACAAAAAAAUAUAUAAUUUUGAACUAAAUUUUCCAUCUUUUAAACAUUGGGGAGACCUCUAAACCCGACAAAGAGAUUUUCAUCAUUGACCAAUAAAGAGAAAAAAAUAAACUAAGUAAAAAUAUAAGCAAAACAAUAGUGACUUGAUGACAGGCAGAACCAAAAUUUCACAAACAAUGACUAUUUUAUAGCAAAAAUAAAAUAAAAUCCUAACAAUGCUUUAAAUAACAAAUGAAGAUAUCCAAAAUAAUGAACAAUAAAUAAUAUAAACUAAUAUUCAAAUAACCAACAAAUUAAACAAAUAAAUAAAAUGAACAUAUAAUUAAAAAUCAUAACACCUAAUAGAAUAAAAUAAGGCUAUUAGAACAAACUAAAACUAUUAAGUUAACUUAAUAAUCAUUUAACCGAUAGCUAAAUGUAUAUAAUAACAACAAUAAUAGAAUCUAAUCGACAAGUUAAAAGUGGCAAGAUUGAGUAGCAAUCAUUUAAAGCGAUAAAAAUUCAUACAUUACUAUCAACACAAAAAUCCAAUAAAAAUAUAUAAAAUUAAUAAUAAUACAAACUAAAAAUAAAGCAGAGAAACCAACACAUAUGACCUAUUACUGAAACAUUGUAAAUUGCACAUAAUCUAUUUAAUAAACAAAAUAUGACAUAGUUAACAGUGGAACCGUGGUAAGUUAAGUGUGUGCAUUUAUUUAUUUUAUUAUUAUUUUUUUAAAAAAAAAUUAGAAAAAAGGACAAACACCAAACAAAUAUAAUGAGAUGUUGUUGAAAUUCUUAUCACAGCAAACCGCGAUGAAAAAUAAAAAUAAAAUGAAACAAACAAUAUCAUACAACGGUAGCCGGAGUUUGAAGCUUCGCUGGAGCAUUUUGAGUUUCACCGGAGAUGAAGCAAAUAGUGGCUGCUGGUUUGGAGCUUGUAGAUCGCUGGUUCAUCGUUGUUACGAGCAUGUUGACUCGCUUGUGCUUCGAGCUCAUCAGUUUUGGAGUUUGUAGCUCGCUAAAAUGGCUGCAAAAUGAACAAGAUCAUAUAGAAAAAAGGGGGGAGGGAUGGUUCUUGAUGGUCUCGUGAUUAUUUUACUCCGAUUCAUCAGAUGUUGAAACUCCUCGUCGGAGUCACUGUUGGCAGCAAUUAAAGGGGAAAAUAAUGGGUUUUGGGGGUUGUUUCAGGUAGAUUUUUGUUGGUUGGUGCUAGUCAUUUGUAAAGAGGAAAUGGGUGAAGUUUCAUCGGAAAAAGAGAAGAGGAAGAUGGGGUUUUGUUGUUGUACGUUUGGGGUGGUGUUCUUGGUGGUCGGAGGGAAAGCAACAGGUGGAUUUUUGGGUUGACGAGAAUAAGGAAAUUGAUAGAGUAGGAGGGUCUUGGUGGCUGUUUGGUGAAAAAGAAAGGGGAGAAUGGAGGUGUCUUGGUUGGUGGCGACUUCAAAAGGGAGAAAUAUAUCCUUAUUUCAUAUGAAAAUUUACACUUAUCCUAAUU